GGGUGGAGGUUGUUGCUGGCCCCCUCGGGCAUGUGCACGCCUCUCUGCCUUGGUCUCCGUUCAUACACACACACCUGUGCACCUGUUGUAGGCCUCCCCUCSAAAGGGGGGAAAGGCCUAUGUCUUUCACAAACACUGUAUGUCUAUARAAUGUCUUGUAUUUAACGUCGUCCGACUUUUCGUCGGGGGACGGUGAACAAAACUACGAAACAACUUUCAGCAACGGAUCUCUUGGCUCUCGCAUCGAUGAAGAACGCAGCGAAUUGCGAUAAGUAAUGUGAAUUGCAGAUUUUCCGUGAAUCAUCGAAUCUUUGAACGCACCUUGCGCUCCUUGGUAUUCCGAGGAGCAUGCCUGUUUGAGUGUCACUGAAUUCUCAACCAUGCCUUGAUUGAUGUCGAGCGCACGGCUUGGAUGUGGGGGUUGCUGGCUGCGUGAGCGGGUCGGCUCUCCUGAAAUGCAUUAGCAAAGGCGAGCGCUUUCGUGCAAUGGCCUUUGACGUGAUAAUGAUCRUCGUGGCUGGAGCGAGAGAGAGUCKCUAAUCGWCCUUUGCUUCUCUAGUCUCGAUCGAUCCCCUCGUGGAUCGCAUCGCUUUUGAAACUUGACCUCAAAUCAGGUAGGACUACCCGCUGAACUUAARCAUAUCAAUAA
rnacentral:rRNA from 1 species